GAUGAACGCUGGCGGCGUGCCUAACACAUGCAAGUCGAACGGAAAGGCGCCGUCGUGGGCCGACGAGCGGCUGACGGGCGAGUGAGACACACGAGCGUGCCCGAUCCUGGGGGAUAAGGUGGCGAAAGGUUUCUUAAUAUCGCAUACGAUAUAAGGUCGUGAGCCGGGGAGUGCAAGGGCUAGUGUCGGCGGUGCGGUCGCUGGCAGAUGAGUUAGUUGGUGGGGUAAGAGCUUACCAAGGCGACGAUUUGUAGCUGGACUGAGAGGAUGAGCGGCCACACUGGAACUGAGACACGGCCCAGACUCCUACGGGAGGCAGCAGUCGGGAAUGUUGGACAAUGGGCGCAAGCCUGACCCAGCGAUGCCGCGUGAGGGAUGAAGGCCUUCGGGUCGUAAACUGCUGUUGUACGGGACGAACAGCUUUCUUUUGAUACAGGCGGGUCAUGACGGUACCGUAUGAAUAAGCACCGGCUAACUACGUG
rnacentral:rRNA from 1 species